CCCGCCUCCUUUUCCCGCCGGCGGAGAGGGCGUGGCCAGGGCAACCUGCUGGGUGGCAGCGCGCGCAGCUGGUGGCGCGGUCUGGGUCUGUGUUCUGUGUGUGUGGCUUGUCACCUCUCUUCCUGCUUUCUGGGGGUUCCCCGAAACGGGAAAACGAACAGUUUGAGGUGCAGGAGCUGACGCCCUUUUCCAGGUAAAUCCCCGGCUUGCGGGGCCUUUCUGCGGACACCAAGUGGCCGCAAGUUACCCCACGGCCCAGUUCGCCAGCCCUACGAGACAGCCGGGGUCCCGAGGUCGCGCGGGCAGGUGACGGCGGGAGGGCGCAGGGUGCUGGCAGAGUAGCAGCGGUCGGAAAUCGGCGAUCGGCAAAAGGGGACCAUCAACUUCGCAAGGCUGCCCAGCCUCUCCAACUGUGAAGCGGACUCGAGGUUCUCCAGGGGCAAAACAACUUGGUACUUUACUUUUGCAACCGAAGUUGGCACUGUGUUAAGAUUGCAAAUUGUUAUUUUAAAAAAAAUUGUUUUGGAAGAACUAGACUCAUAACCCCACGCUUCAUGCCUACUAGGCGGGCACCCUCCCCAACUCCGCCUGCAAAAAGGGACCAACAGCCUCACCAGCGGAAGGUAUGGGACUCCUGCGAGUUCUUUUGACUCAUGUGCUGCCCAUUUCUCGACAAUCCUGCAGGUUGGGGCGCUUCCCCAAAAUACAGCCCCGUGUCAUCCAUUCUCAGCGCCCACAUCUAGUCAACACUCUGCCACCGAACUGCACACCCCCCCCCGCCUCUUUGAAACAUUUUAAAAUUUUGAGACAGGGUCUUUCCAAAUUGCCCAGGCUGGGUUUGAACUCAUGAUUGUCCUGCUUCAGCUUCCUGAGUGCUGGGAUGACAGGCAUGCACCACCACACCUGGGCCCGAGUUCGUUUAACACACAUUAUUUGAGAAAAAUAAUAGCAAACGUUUGCCAGUCUCAAAUCCAGGACACAUGUGUUGACACGGGUGGCCUGUGUCUGUGUGUCUGUCCUGCAUCUGCAUAUUCCUUUUGUGACCCCCUCUCCAGUUGUCCCUGUGUCACUUACCAGUAGUGGGGUGCGGCUGGUGUAGAACCAGCUGCUUCGGGGGAGGUGGGGAAAGUGCAGUGUUGCUACGUACACGUGUGUGGUUUGCUGCACGUUUUGCUGAUAUUUUUCCAUUUCUUUCUCAAAUCUAGACAAAUAAUUGAGCCCGCUUCUCACCACUUGCUGAGUUUCUUGGUGUAAGGACUUCCUCCAUGAUCCAUUUGAAACCAUGCCUGUGAUACCACAAUCCAUAGAGUUGGGAAGAGAUGUGUCUUGCUCAGCACACCUGAUUUUUGGGGGGAGCAUAUAGUGCUGUCUUAGUGUAGCCACCAGAAUCCUCACCCCAAACUAGACCUCAGUCAAAGUCUGCAUUUUAACACAGUGCACAGGAACUUCUGGGCAUUGUUAGAUCUUGAAGCACAUAAGAGUUCAAGAGUCUUUUGCAUAGAACUGUUUUUUACUCUUGUUCAGGAGUGGUAGAUUUAAUACCAUUAAAAUGUCCUCAGCCAGCCAGGUGUGAUGGUGCACACCUGUAUUUCCAGCACUCAGGGAGGCUGAGGCAGGAGUGUCGCUGCGAGUUCGAGACUAGCCUGGGCUGUCCUGUGAGCUCAAGGCCAGCCUGGACUCUGUAGCGAGACCCUGUCUCAGAAACAAAACAAAAUUUUCCGCUACAUCGAUCCUAAAAAAUCGAAAACCACUAAGCCUCCAAGAGGAGAUCCUUGUAAGAAUAAACAUGAACACAAAACGGUGUUGCUAAACCUUGGGUGGUAGCGUGGUCUGCCCGGCUUGUGGGAAGAUUAGCAGGUGUUAGCACGGCAUUAAGGGCAGAUUAGCGCUCCCCAGACAGGGGAGAUGACUGGAACCCGUUUGUUCACUGUCAUUCGAUGCCAUGCCAACCUGCGGCCCAAAGUCACAUCAGGCACCAUGGCCGUCCACUCUGGGGAAUCCCAGCUGUUUGUCAUCACGUGCUAAAUAUAACCCGGCUGUGGCUUUUCAAGGUACACGAGAGCUGCUUGUCGAGCUGUCAGCCCAACAGCCGGCGGAGUUUCCGUGACUUUCCCCCAUCUGCCCCCACGGUGACGGUGGUGACGGCUGCCAGCGCCUGCCCUGCGGCCCGACUGUCUCCUCUCACAGACUGACACAGUCAACACUGAUUUAUUCAUUCGACAAACCAGGGGUCCGUGUGCGGUUCAGGCUGGCCUUGAGCUCAGUGUGUAGCCCAGGCUGGUCUUGAACGGGAGGAUGCCGCCACACCGGCAAGAAAGUUCUUCUGUGGGGACUGAUGUGUCAGUGAGCUUGAUUUAAUCCCAUCCCAGGACACACGUGUGUUGUGACGUGUUACACACCUGAAAUGUGUGAAGUUCUGUCACUUGUGUCAUAAAGCUGGGGGAUUUUUUUUUAAAUCACACCCAAUAAAGCUAACUUUACAAACA